GGUCUCCGGACGCCAGGAGUCGCGGAGGGCCGACCAGGAUGAAGAAACUUCAGGCGGAGUCCCAGGAGAGCAGCGCGGGAUCCCAGCCUCAGCCUGCCCAGACGGAGAGGUGCAGACCGACCUCCAAGAAGAUGGUUCUAACUCCUCCCGCCCUCUCUUCCCAUUGAGAAAUGGAGCCCCACCGCGACACAGGCUUGGAGAAGAAGUCGAGAACGGGAUGUGGCAAGGAUCUCUGUCACUCCAACGCUGGCCUUUCUGGCCAAGUCACCCGUUUGGCACUCCUUCCCGGAAGCCCAUGGCGGUGGCAUUGUGCUGUAUCCCGCCUGGGCUCUGACCUCUACACUGUCCUCCCUCUUGCUCUGUCUGCCAUGUUUCUGACGGGCCUGGAUGCUUCUUGGUCUGGCUCAGUGUCUUCCACAGAGAACACUUUUGAGUCCAUCAGGGAGAAACUGUGUGGAAAUCCAUUUCGUGAAUGUUGUCAUCAUAAAUCAUCAAAAUGUCAUCUGAUAGAACAUAUUUUUCUAAGUUAAUUUACUUAUGAGACAUUUACAA
ensembl:lncRNA LINC02184 long intergenic non-protein coding RNA 2184